rnacentral:rRNA from 1 species
UACAGAGGUGGCAAGCGUUGUUCGGAAUUACUGGGCGUAAAGGGCGCGUAGGCGGCCUUCUAAGUCGGACGUGAAAUCCCCAGGCUUAACUUGGGAACUGCCAUUGAUACUAUCAGUCUUGAAUACCGUGGAGGUCAGCGGAAUAUGUCAUGUAGCGGUGAAAUGCUUAGAUAUGACAUAGAACACCAAUUGCGAAGGCAGCUGGCUACACGAAUAUUGACACUGAGGCACGAAAGCGUGGGGAUCAAACAGG